rnacentral:sRNA from 1 species
UAAUAACAUGGUGUGAAUAACGAUUUUAUUAACUGUAUAUGUCUAAAAAGAUGAUGAUUAUCCUAUUUUGUAUAAUUAAGAAGGAAUUAGAAAUAGAAAGGAAAUUUUAUAGGUUAAUUGUUACAACUUAUGGUUAUGUUAGAAAAAUAGUUGCUAUAACAUUAAUUUGUGUAUUUAAACUAAUUGCAGUGAUUUCUUUUUAUAAAAGGGGUUAAAAAUCGUAUUUAUAAAAAUAGUAAAGUAAUUGUUAAAAAGUUAGAGCGCAAUGGGGAAUAGUAUUAAAAACAUAGGGAGCAUAAAAUAAUACAAAGCUUAAUAUACUUUAAAUAGUUAUUAGUUCCAUUAUUAUAGUUUAUGAGAGAAUAAAAUUCUAAAUUAAGUAUAGAAUUUUAUUAAUAUUUCAGUGCACUGAGAUGAUAAGUAAGGAGUAUAUAGAAUUAACUUAUUAGUAUUUAUAUUAAAGCCAACCUUAAGGACUAUAGAAAACCCUUAAGGUUGU